GUAGUCUGCAGCUACAUGGGUAUGCAGAGCAGGGGUCCAUGUCACUAGAAGGCACCAGAAGUUUCCUUCCCACUGACCCACUGACCCAAUGUUAGGUUCAUUUCUGUUCCUGCCUGUCAGGCCAGACCCUGCUGCCAUGCCUCAAUGUCUCCGGGGACCACAAAUCUGUUAGCUCUCAGUGCUUCUGGGGAAAUGAGGAACUUUCCACGAAGCCCAUGCAAAUGUACACUAAAAUCAGGUUCAACAUCUCUGACAAAAGCUGACACACCUUCAGAUAUUGCUUCCCUCUCUGCUUGGCCUGAGUCACUUGAACUUGUGACUUGGUGAAAGACAGGGUUUCUCUGUGUACCCCUGGCUGUCCCGGAGCUUGUUUUGUAGACCAGGCUGGCCUUGAACUCAGAGAUUCACCUGUCUCUACCUCCCUGGAGCAGGGACUAAAGGAGAGCGCCACCACCACACCCAACAGCUGAGUUCCUUGUAAAGACGUUUUAUGAUCAUUGUUAAUGUGUGUACUGGUGCAUGUCUGUGAAUCUCCACAGAAGCCAGAGGUGUUGUGUAACCCUCUUCCUGCUAAGCUACUGGGAGCUGGGAACCAAAUUCAGAACCUCUGGAGUAGAGCAGCCUCUUAACUGCUGAGCAAUCUUUCAGGUCCCCGAGUGUCCUUUUAGAAGUGUCCAGCAGUUAGUGAAGGAUCUAAAAGCCACAAAUCUUUCUGCCAAGGAACUUGGGCCCUCCACAUUGGAGGGGCCCUUGGGUCUCCACAUGGCCUCUACUCGGGCCACAUGCUUUGCACUGAGAUGGAGAGUACACUCGAUAGAGAGCUAGUGGCACCCUUUCCCGCAGGGGUGGCUGGGAAACUAGGGUUGGGGAAGGGUCAAGUCUGGUUGGAGCAGCUGUGGGAGGAACAGAGCUUCCGUAUUCAAACGUCCUAGGGACUUCUAGUCAGACGGGCUAGCCUCUGCUCCUUCUUGGGUCUUUGUAAGUAGCCAAGUCCUACAGGCUCUGCCUGCUUCAGUUUCUUCCUCCACAGAUGUCCUGUCAGAUUAACUAGGUUUGCUGCGUAGUGAGGAGAGUGGGUGAGACUGCUUGGUUCCUUAGGGCUCCAAGGAGCAGACGUAAGAGCUAAUGUGUGAUGUCAGUACUUGAAUAAGAGGGCAUUUUUCUAGAACAAGACUGAGUGCACCCUGCCCUGCAGUUCCUGCUGUGGGGAAGCAGGCCCACGGCAGGCCUCAGGCUCAGGUGUUCUUGGCCCUAAUCUGUGGAAGGUCCCAGGACUGCUCAACUGAAUUUCUAACAGACGUAGCUUCCUGCAGCUCAGCAGCCCUGAGUCUCAGACCUGAAAACCUGGGAGUGAGACCUACAGAGACCCCAGGCCCUGAGCCCAUGCGAGGAGCUUUCUUGAGUCAGCCACCCAGGUUCUUCCUAACUUCCAGAAGAAGCUCUGGAAGAGCUUUUCUGUGAUUCUUCAGUGAAAUACAUAGCCAGUUCCUGUAGCCUGGGGUGCUGGGGCCUGGGGUGUGGAGAUCAGAGGGCUCAAGAGGAGAUAAGGACGCUGAUAAGCCAUGUCCCACAGAGGAGUGGAACCCACUGACCUCCUCCUCCCAGGGACAAGUAGCAGCUGCCCCUUCUUCCAGAAAGCCACCAGGAGUGCCUCGGGCAGCAUGGAGCGCACUAUGAAACUGCUGGGUGUAAAGUGAAUACAGAGGGGAGGUGAGCUAGCCUGGGACCAGGCACCUCAGGAGGAGGUAGCCAGGCACAGAGGCUUAGAGGCCCUGUGUGGGGCCGGCCCCCAGCAGGGACAGGUAUUUUUAGAUAGGCUCAGGUACAGACUGAGACAUUAGGCCACAGCCCGACAGGUGGUUAAUAUUUAAUCCCUCCUUAAUCAUUAACUCUCUGGCUGGCUGGGGAGGAUGGGGCUGUUGUUAGAUCAGUAACCACAGGCCUUGGGAACAAUGUUCACAGAUUUCUUUGCCUUUCCCAGCUCGGCUGGGGGUGCUGGCUGGGUGGGAAUCACCCAUGGUCCCGGAGAGCCUGGUGUGGCUUUCUGUGGUCAUUAAGAGCAUGGAUACAGUAG
ensembl:lncRNA